rnacentral:sRNA from 1 species
GGGUGAGACGCGGCUGGAGGCCAAGGUCAAGUUGAAAGUUGUUGUUGUCUGGCCGUCCAG